CCUACGGGUGGCAGCAGUCGAGAAUCAUUCACAAUGGGGGAAACCCUGAUGGUGCGACGCCGCGUGGGGGAAUGAAGGUCUUCGGUUUGUAAACUCCUGUCAUGUGGGAGCAAAUUAAAAAGAUAGUACCACAAGAGGAAGAGACGGCUAACUCUGUGCCAGCAGCCGCGGUAAGACAGAGGUCACAAGCGUUGUUCGGAAUCACUGGGCGUAAAGCGUGCGUAGGCGGUUUCGUAAGUCGUGGGUGAAAGGCGCGGGCUCAACCCGCGGACUGCACAUGAUACUGGGAGACUAGAGUAAAGGAGAGGGAACCGGAAUUCUCGGUGUAGCAGUGAAAUGCGUAGAUAUCGAGAGGAACACUCGUGGCGAAGGCGGGUUCCUGGACAUUAACUGACGCUGAGGCACGAAGGCCAGGGGAGCGAAAGGGAUUAGAUACCCUAGUAGUC
rnacentral:rRNA from 1 species